rnacentral:misc_RNA from 1 species
AAGUCAUAACAAGGUUUCCGUAGGUGAACCUGCGGAAGGAUCAUUAAUAGUGCCCUCUGAUGCAAAUCAUUGGGUUAGAUCUGCUCUCUUCGCAUGAAGAGGGUUUCCAUACACACCGUGAACUGUGGCUUCGGCCAUCACAAACUGUUAGUAAUGAAUGUAAUAUCAUAACAAAAACAAAACUUUUAACAACGGAUCUCUUGGCUCUC